CGGAGGGUGCGAGCGUUAUCCGGAUUUACUGGGUUUAAAGGGGGCGCAGGCGGGCCUGUAAGUCAGUGGUGAAAUACUUGGGCUCAACCCGGGAACUGCCAUUGAUACUAUAGGCCUUGAGUGACGUUGAGGUUUGCGGAAUGGGUCAUGUAGCGGUGAAAUGCAUAGAUAUGACCCGGAACACCUAUUGCGAAGGCAGCAGGCUAAACGUAUACUGACGCUGAGGCCCGAAAGCGUGGGGAUCAAACAGGAUUAGAUACCCUGGUAGUCCACGCCCUAAACUAUGGAUACUCGACAUAUGCGAUACACUGUAUGUGUCUGAGCGAAAGCAUUAAGUAUCCCACCUGGGAAGUACGGCCGCAAGGCUG
rnacentral:rRNA from 1 species